rnacentral:rRNA from 1 species
GGGCCCGCACAAGCAGUGGAGUAUGUGGUUUAAUUCGAAGCAACGCGAAGAACCUUACCAGGGCUUGACAUGUACAGGAAGUGAGAGGAAACUCGAACGCUUAUUCGUAAGUCUGUACACAGGUGGUGCAUGGUUGUCGUCAGCUCGUGUCGUGAGAUGUUGGGUUAAGUCCCGCAACGAGCGCAACCCCUGUUGCUAGUUACUAACACGUGAAGGUGAGGACUCUAGCGAGACCGCCGCAGAUAAUGCGGAGGAAGGUGGGGACGACGUCAAAUCAUCAUGCCCUAUAUGUCCUGGGCAACACACGUACUACAAUGGUCGCAACAGAGAGAAACGAAUCAGCAAUGAGGAGUGAAACUAAAAAAGCGGUCUCAGUUCGGAUUGUUGGCUGAAAUUCGCCAAUAUGAAGUUGGAAUUGCUAGUAAUGGCAGGUCAGCAUACUG